UACAGAGGGUGCUAGCGUUAAUCGGAUUUACUGGGCGUAAAGCGUGUGUAGGUGGUUUAGUAAGUCGGUUGUGAAAUCCCGGGGCUUAACCUCGGAACUGCUUCCGAUACUGCUGGACUCGAGUACGGUAGAGGGUGGCGGAAUUUCCGGUGUAGCGGUGAAAUGCGUAGAUAUCGGAAGGAACAUCAAUGGCGAAGGCAGCCGCCUGGGCCUGUACUGACACUGAGACACGAAAGCGUGGGGAUCAAACAGG
rnacentral:rRNA from 1 species